UACACCUCAAUCUAUUCUCCAAGUGCAAUCACAGAUCAAUAGAUAAAGCAUUACGCCAACAAUCUCUUUGACCGUCCUGAGAAUGGAGAAUACUUUCCGGGGUGUUCUUGAACGGUUCUCUCAAAUUUGGGGCCGUGGAUAGAGGUGCCGUGCGGACUGUACUAAUUUUGUGAUUGGUGAAGCAUUUGAAGAUGCACUCGAGUCCUUCAUUAGGUCAGAGAAUGGCUUUGCGCAGAAAGAAUAUCCUCCGGCUUGUUCUUGAAAUAAUUUAUAAAGUCAAGAGUACGGACCUACAGGAUCGGGUUAUUGAGGGAACAGAAGGCUUGAUAAGUUUGACAUAAUAGAAGAAGCGAUUCAAGCAUGCUAUGACAUCAUUUCUGGGUGGUCUUGUCCAGUAAGCAGAGAACUAAGUGGAGAGGGAGUAUCACACAUUGAUACAUACCUCUUUGCAUUCCAUUCCUCUGGUUGGAAGCUUGAAGAUUGCAGAGGAUUUUUUUAUGAUUGCAACUGCAAAAGAGACUGUAGUCUGAUUAUUGGUUUUGGACAAAAGUGAAGAUGGGGGAUUCAGUAUUUUUUUAUUUAAUAAAUUACAUCUAGGGAGGGGAUACAACCAAGGUUUUGAUUACAAGAUUUGAGACCCUUUGAAGAAAAUGGAAGACUUAUUACGAGUUACACAAGAAGAUUGGGAGCUGUUACACUCGCAUGGUGGAAGCCGAUGAAGCCACAAGCAUGAAGGCUAAUUCUACUUACAGAGAUUCAACACAAUGCCUUGGAUGAUAAUUAUCUGACCGAAGAUUAUCACUGCUCAUCUUUACUAAUGUUUCAUCACGUUGUUGAGGCCGGCAGCCUUCCACAGAGCACAUUGUACUGAAGAAUCAGUUUGCCGACACUAUAGAGCCUAUUCUCGUAGCAGGGCCCAAAGUAAAUAUGGAAAAACAAAAUUUUCAAACUCAGCCUGAGCAGUUUUGGUAUCUUAAUCAGCUUAGUGGAAUGAUUGUGCAGUCCAAUUAUGUUGGCUGCAUCCGGGUGAGCAGUGAAAAGAAAACUGUAGUGUCAGUGGAACUGCUCUGUUCAAAGUGCAGGCAGAAGGUGAUGAAGUUAAUUGCAACAAUCGAUGGGAUAACUUCUAUAGUCCUUGACCCCUCAAAGAAUACGGUGACAGUAAUCGGGGAAGCCGAUCCAGUGAGGAUCAUCAAGAAGGUCCGAAAAUUCAGAAAAACUGCCACUGUGGUCAGUGUAGGUCCCUCCAAAGACGAGAAAAAGGAUGAGAAGAAAGAUUCAGUUGUUCUUAAUAUUCCAAAGACAUGUCAGAAAUGUGAUUUAUGGUAUGUGAUUGGUGAUGAUUAUUACAAUCGUUGUAGCAUUAUGUAACUAAGCAACUCACAUUUCAAGAACCCUUUCAUUAUCAUUUCAUGCUGCAAGAUCUGGCUAGCUUUUUUAUUAUGGGGCCAAAAUAAUAAAACCAUCUCUAAUGGUUCGUCCCCCCCAAACAAAAGAAAAACAAGAAGCGUGAAGUUGUCGUGUAAAUUUUAAACAAUUUACUGAAAUAUUCAUUGAA